AGCUUGUUGGUGAGGUAAAGGCUCACCAAGGCGACGAUCCGUAGCUGGUCUGAGAGGACGACCAGCCACACUGGAACUGAGACACGGUCCAGACUCCUACGGGAGGCAGCAGUGGGGAAUUUUGGACAAUGGGGGCAACCCUGAUCCAGCCAUUCCGCGUGAGUGAAGAAGGCCUUCGGGUUGUAAAGCUCUUUCAGCAGGAACGAAACGGUGGCCACUAAUACUGGCUACUAAUGACGGUACCUGAAGAAGAAGCACCGGCUAACUACGUGCCAGCAGCCGCGGUAAUACGUAGGGUGCGAGCGUUAAUCGGAAUUACUGGGCGUAAAGCGUGCGCAGGCGGUUCCAUAGGACAGAUGUGAAAUCCCCGGGCUUAACCUGGGAACUGCGUUUGUGACUGUGGGACUCGAGUGUGGCAGAGGGGGGUGGAAUUCCACGUGUAGCAGUGAAAUGCGUAGAGAUGUGGAGGAACACCGAUGGCGAAGGCAGCCCCCUGGGUCAACACUGACGCUCAUGCACGAAAGCGUGGGGAGCAAACAGGAUUAGAUACCCUGGUAGUCCACGCCCUAAACGAUGCGAACUAGGUGUUGGGGAAGGAGACUUUCUUAGUACCGCAGCUAACGCGUGAA
rnacentral:rRNA from 1 species